rnacentral:rRNA from 1 species
GAUGAACGCUGGCGGCGUGCUUAACACAUGCAAGUCGAACGGUGAACACGGAGCUUGCUCUGUGGGAUCAGUGGCGAACGGGUGAGUAACACGUGAGCAACCUGCCCCUGACUCUGGGAUAAGCGCUGGAAACGGCGUCUAAUACUGGAUAUGUGACGUGACCGCAUGGUCUGCGUUUGGAAAGAUUUUUCGGUUGGGGAUGGGCUCGCGGCCUAUCAGCUUGUUGGUGAGGUAAUGGCUCACCAAGGCGUCGACGGGUAGCCGGCCUGAGAGGGUGACCGGCCACACUGGGAUUGAGACACGGCCCAGACUCCUACGGGAGGCAGCAGUGGGGAAUAUUGCACAAUGGGCGGAAGCCUGAUGCAGCAACGCCGCGUGAGGGAUGACGGCCUUCGGGUUGUAAACCUUUUUUAGCAGGGAAGAAGCGAAAGUGACGGUACCUGCAGAAAAAGCGCCGGCUAACUACGUG